rnacentral:rRNA from 1 species
UACGGGAGGCAGCAGUGGGGAAUAUUGCACAAUGGGGGAAACCCUGAUGCAGCGACGCCGCGUGAGCGAAGAAGUAUUUCGGUAUGUAAAGCUCUAUCAGCAGGGAAGAAAAUGACGGUACCUGACUAAGAAGCCCCGGCUAACUACGUGCCAGCAGCCGCGGUAAUACGUAGGGGGCAAGCGUUAUCCGGAUUUACUGGGUGUAAAGGGAGCGUAGACGGAGCAGCAAGUCUGAUGUGAAAACCCGGGGCUCAACCCCGGGACUGCAUUGGAAACUGUUGAUCUGGAGUGCCGGAGAGGUAAGCGGAAUUCCUAGUGUAGCGGUGAAAUGCGUAGAUAUUAGGAGGAACACCAGUGGCGAAGGCGGCUUACUGGACGGUAACUGACGUUGAGGCUCGAAAGCGUGGGGAGCAAACAGGAUUAGAUACCCUGGUAGUCCACGCCGUAAACGAUGACUACUAGGUGUCGGGUGGCAAAGCCAUUCGGUGCCGCAGCCAACGCAAUAAGUAGUCCACCUGGGGAGUACGUUCGCAAGAAUGAAACUCAAAGGAAUUGACGGA